UUUAUAAAGUGACAGUCUUUAACCCACAUUCUUACUUUGCUAUGGUUGUGCAUUCUUUGCCAGAGUCACUGUUAUGCAUCCAAAUAUACUACACACUUAAGAUUCCUUUUGUAAAUAAUAAUAAGUACUUAGAAACAUUAUAUUUACAAAUAUUCUUAUGGUUUUUUAUGGAAAUGUUAUUACCAUACACAUUUUCAUUUUGCAAAAUAUCUAAUUUGUACCUUUACAACUAACAUAUUUCUGUAUGUUUCUUUUUUUAAAAAGGUUCUUUUUAACUUAAAAACACAUAUAAGACCAUGUGGCAGUGGUUGCUAUGGCAAGUUUGUAUAUUUUAUUGAGUACCAGACCAGAAUCAAUAGACAUUGCAUCAGACUGAGGUAGCACUGGAGGUAUCAAGACCGUAUCAUUAUUUCUGCUAUAAAUAUGUAUAUUUUCAGGAUUCCAUAUACAUGGAAUGGUAACUUCAUAACAAAUUAACACAAGACAACAAAUACUAAUGUCCAUGUGGAUGAAUAUUUUAAGGGGCCCACUAAAGGAAGCUAUAUCUCCUGGGAAUCUGUGAAUAUUGCAAAUAACAGAAGUUUGGGAACCAUUCCUGGAAUGUUUGCCUAGGAAUUAAAUUUGUCAUCUAGUUUUCAGCCAAGAAUACAAAAUGAAAUUUUUGAAUUGUGGUUUAGUUAAUAUAUGAUAAUUAUUCUUCUGAAUAAAAACAACUGACUGUUUAAGAAUAGAUUUUUAUAAAAAUAUUAAGUACCUAGGCUAUUUCAUGCGGUUCACUGAUUUAAAAAUAUACAUAUAACCAACAACAGCAAUUAAUAUUACUUAGUUCUUACUAUAUCCCAGGCCCUGUUGUAAGCUCUUUACAUAUACUAUCUGACUUGCAGAAAAGGAAAUAAAGAAUACACUUUCCUUCUUUAAUAUGGUGCUUUUCUGUGCAAAAUUAAGAAAAUAGGAAGGAAAGGAAGGAGGGAGGAGGGGAGGCAGGGAGGAAGGAAGAAAAGAGUAAUAGAAUAAAAAAUAAAAAUAGGCCUUAAUUUAUCAAUCUACUCAAGAUUCAUAGAGCCACAUAUAGAGAGUAAGACAGAUACCUUCUAUCUACUUAAAAUUCUUGAAAAGUUAUCCUCCCACCCCACCCAAAUGUACUCAAUACAGGCA